rnacentral:lncRNA from 1 species
GCCCUCCGUGAAGAUUUCGUGAUGACACCUAGUCCCUACGACUAGGUAAGCCUAAAAAUGCGGAAAUUUAAUCAAUUGCGGAAGAAAACAUUUAAACUGAACUAAAUAAAUAACUAAAUGAUCAAGGUUCCACCUGGCACAUACAAUAAUAACUCUCGAAACUAACAAACAAACUCCCAAAACCCGGAAUCUCUCAAAUCACAUGCUAAGGGAUACAUAAGAGGCUCUGACUCAAGAAUAUAUAUACAAAAAGAAAUACCGAAAGAACUAUACUUAUUACAGAAAGCUGGAAAGGGACUCCUCGGUCUGCAGACGUAGCAGAUACACCUCGAAGUCUCCAACGAUACGCCUCCUUCCAAGGCCGACAAAACUAAAUGGGAGUACAUGAAUAUGCACAACGAAAAGUGUGCAGAAGAGUAGCAUGAGCACACCACAGCGGUGCCCAGUGAGUAUCAGGACUAACUUCGAUGGAGUAGUUACGCGCAACAGUCGAGACACCUACUGCUCAAUAAACAAUAUAAUAGGAAUAAUAGGGAUGAUAUGUAAUAUGUAAAGACUGCACUGAUACGCUCAAAUUACACUUUAAUAAAUAGUGUAAGGCGGUCGAUGUCAAAUAUAAUAAGCCAAUAAGGUUGGGGUCGAAUCCCACAGGGAAUAGGUGUGAAAAGGUUACUUGUUCAUUGUGUUGCUCGACUCGAGUUUGAUCUCUAUUCGGUUAAUUGUAACAAGAGAGAAUGGUGUAUGGUGACAA